AAGGCCCGGCGGUACUGCUCCUCCACACGGAGAGCUGAUGGUGCUGCUGCUCCUCGGCACCUUUGAGCGGUCUGUUAAUAGGAGGCGUGAGGCGAGCUGCAAGACUUCACGGCACCUUUGAGUGGUCUGCUAAUAGAAGGCAUGAGGCGAGCUGCAAGAUUUCAGGCACAUAAACAGCGCAAUGGCAAGAGCUAUAUAAUAUCACAUUGAUAUUCUGGACCCCGCAGGAGAAUAUAUAUUUAAGUGGUGUACAUGUACUAUGUAUAACUAGAAGAAGAUUACUAUAUUUGUGACUACACUAGAAAUUUAUAGUUGUUGCAGCACGUGGUUAGUUUACAAUAUCACGGUGGUGGUCAUCGACCAGUUAUAGGGUGCUCCAGUGCUCGAAGGCCCGGCGGUACUGCUCCUCGACAGGGAGAGCUGGUGGUGUUGCUGCUCCUCGGCACCUUGGAGCGGUCUGCUAAUAUGAGGCGUGAGGCGAGCUGCAAGACUUCUGGCACACAAACAGCACAACAGCAAGAGCUAUACAAUAUCACAUUGAUACAUAUUCUGCACCCCGCAGGAGACAUUAUAUAUUUAAGUGGUGUACAUCUACUAUAUAUACCUACAAGAUUACCUAUGUUUGCGACUCUACAAGUAC